GACGAACGCUGGCGGCGUGCUUAACACAUGCAAGUCGAACGGAAAGGCCCUGCUUUUGUGGGGUGCUCGAGUGGCGAACGGGUGAGUAACACGUGAGUAACCUGCCCUUGACUUUGGGAUAACUUCAGGAAACUGGGGCUAAUACCGGAUAGGAGCUCCUGCUGCAUGGUGGGGGUUGGAAAGUUUCGGCGGUUGGGGAUGGACUCGCGGCUUAUCAGCUUGUUGGUGGGGGAGUGGCUUACCAAGGCUUUGACGGGUAGCCGGCCUGAGAGGGUGACCGGCCACCUUGGGACUGCGAUACGGCCCAGACUCCUACGUGAGGCAGCAGUGGCGAAUAUUGCCCAAUGGGCGGACGCCUGAUGCAGCAACGCCGCGUGCGUGAUGACGGCCUUCGGGUUGUAAACCGCUUUCGCCUGUGACGAAGCGUGAGUGACGGUAAUGGGUAAAGAAGCACCGGCUAACUACGUG
rnacentral:rRNA from 1 species